rnacentral:tRNA from 1 species
CGGGGUGGAGCAGCCUGGUAGCUCGUCGGGCUCAUAACCCGAAGGUCGUCGGUUCAAAUCCGGCCACAA